rnacentral:rRNA from 1 species
UACGUAGGGUGCAAGCGUUGUCCGGAAUUAUUGGGCGUAAAGAGCUCGUAGGCGGUUUGUCGCGUCUGCUGUGAAAACUCGGGGCUUAACCCCCGGGCCUGCAGUGGGUACGGGCAGACUAGAGUGCGGUAGGGGAGACUGGAAUUCCUGGUGUAGCGGUGAAAUGCGCAGAUAUCAGGAGGAACACCGGUGGCGAAGGCGGGUCUCUGGGCCGUAAUGACGUGCUGAGGAGCGAAAGCGUGGGGAGCGAACAGG